CAGUAGCCACGGUAAUACGAGGGGGGCAAGCGUUGUUCGGAAUUAUUGGGCGUAAAGGGUGCGUAGGCGGUUUGGCAAGUCUGGUGUGAAAUCUUCGGGCUCAACUCGAAGUCUGCAUCGAAAACUGCCGGGCUUGAGUAUGGGAGAGGUGAGUGGAAUUUCCGGUGUAGCGGUGAAAUGCGUAGAUAUCGGAAGGAACACCUGUGGCGAAAGCGGCUCACUGGACCAUAACUGACGCUGAUGCACGAAAGCUAGGGGAGCAAACAGGAUUAGAUACCCCAGUAGUCCCUGUCUCUUAUAC
rnacentral:rRNA from 1 species